rnacentral:rRNA from 1 species
UCUUGAGAGCGGCGUACGGGUGCGGAACACGUGUGCAACCUGCCUUUAUCUGGGGGAUAGCCUUUCCAAAGGAAGAUUAAUACCCCAUAAUAUAUUGAAUGGCAUCAUUCGAUAUUGAAAACUCCGGUGGAUAGAGAUGGGCACGCGCAAGAUUAGAUAGUUGGUGAGGUAACGGCUCACCAAGUCUACGAUCUUUAGGGGGCCUGAGAGGGUGAUCCCCCACACUGGUACUGAGACACGGACCAGACUCCUACGGGAGGCAGCAGUGAGGAAUAUUGGACAAUGGGUGAGAGCCUGAUCCAGCCAUCCCGCGUGAAGGACGACGGCCCUAUGGGUUGUAAACUUCUUUUGUAUAGGGAUAAACCUACUCUCGUGAGAGUAGCUGAAGGUACUAUACGAAUAAGCACCGGCUAACUCCGUGCCAGCAGCCGCGGUAAUACGGAGGGUGCAAGCGUUAUCCGGAUUUAUUGGGUUUAAAGGGUCCGUAGGCGGGAUCUGUAAGUCAGUGGUGAAAUCUCACAGCUUUAACUGUGAAAACUGCCAUUGAUACUGCAGGUCUUGAGUGUUGUUGAAUU